rnacentral:rRNA from 1 species
UACGUAGGGUGCGAGCGUUAAUCGGAAUUACUGGGCGUAAAGCGUGCGUAGGCGGCUUCUUAAGUCUGCUGUGAAAUCCCCGGGCUCAACCUGGGAAUGGCAGUGGAUACUGGGAGGCUAGAGUGUGUCAGAGGAUGGUGGAAUUCCCGGUGUAGCGGUGAAAUGCGUAGAGAUCGGGAGGAACAUCAGUGGCGAAGGCGGCCAUCUGGGACAACACUGACGCUGAAGCACGAAAGCGUGGGGAGCAAACAGG